GGUUACUAGGGCUUAUCAGAAGACCAGUUUCAGUUAAUUGAUUAGAUCAAUAAAUUAAUAAGAUAGAUAAGAUAAAUAGAUAAAUAAAUAGGGUUUGUUUUAAAAUAAUCUUCCAUAAUAUGAAUAGGAUUUAUGAUUGAAAUACUAAAUAUGUCAAUAAAAAGAUUAAUAUACAUAAGGUUAUUUAUAUCGGUUUAAAAAUAAUAUUUUGUUCAUUUCAAAUGUGGCGAAUGUGCCCUUCUCAAAAUGUACAAGAUUCGGGUGACAUGAGGAGUUCACGUAAGACAACGUAGCGUAGCCAAUCAGACACCGUCAAGGUGUACGUGCCGUUUCUCUCUCUCUCUAUGCCGGACCGUUGUUGAGGUGGCGGCAUGCAAACUUUCUCUUGAAGGAAAUUAUUGUUGCGAGAGCCAGAUAUAUCCCAACGUUUGAAUAAUUAUCGGAGGCGCAGAGAACAAAGUUUUUUUGUUGUUGCUUUGGUUGAUUAGUGGACCUUGUUUGUGACGGAAACGAAGGAGAACCGGAACCUGGACUGAUGAGAGCAGUGUAUUCUGCCUUGUACCGGAGUGUAUGUGUAUAUGUGAUGUUUGAGCCUCUGGU
ensembl:lncRNA